rnacentral:rRNA from 1 species
AGAGUUUGAUCAUGGCUCAGAGCGAACGCUGGCGGCAGGCCUAACACAUGCAAGUCGAACGGCUCUUCGGAGCAGUGGCGGACGGGUGAGUAACGCGUGGGAACGUGCCCUUUGGUUCGGAACAACACAGGGAAACUUGUGCUAAUACCGGAUGAGCCCUUUGGGGGAAAGAUUUAUCGCCAUUGGAGCGGCCCGCGUUGGAUUAGGUAGUUGGUGGGGUAAAGGCCCACCAAGCCGACGAUCCAUAGCUGGUCUGAGAGGAUGAUCAGCCACACUGGGACUGAGACACGGCCCAGACUCCUACGGGAGGCAGCAGUGGGGAAUCUUGCGCAAUGGGCGAAAGCCUGACGCAGCCAUGCCGCGUGAAUGAUGAAGGUCUUAGGAUUGUAAAAUUCUUUCACCGGGGAAGAUAAUGACGGUACCCGGAGAAGAAGCCCCGGCUAACUUCGUGCCAGCAGCCGCGGUAAUACGAAGGGGGCUAGCGUUGCUCGGAAUUACUGGGCGUAAAGGGCGCGUAGGCGGACAGUUUAGUCAGAGGUAAAAGCCCAGGGCUCAACCUUGGAACUGCCUUUGAUACUGGCUGUCUUGAGUUCGGGAGAGGUGAGUGGAAUGCCGAGUGUAGAGGUGAGAUUCGUAGAUAUUCGGCGGAACACCAGUGGCGAAGGCGACUCACUGGCCCGAUACUGACGCUGAGGCGCGAAAGCGUGGGGAGCAAACAGGAUUAGAUACCCCGGUAGUCCAA